rnacentral:rRNA from 1 species
GUGUCAGCAGCCGCGGUAACACGUAGGAGGCGAGCGUUGUCCGGAAUCAUUGGGCGUAAAGAGCGCGCAGGCGGCCCGGCAAGUCGGGUGUGAAAUCCCGGGGCUCAACCCCGGGACUGCAUUCGAUACUGCCGGGCUAGAGGUAGGUAGGGGAGAUCGGAAUUCCUGGUGUAGCGGUGAAAUGCGCAGAUAUCAGGAGGAACACCGGUGGCGAAGGCGGAUCUCUGGGCCUUACCUGACGCUCAGGCGCGAAAGCUAGGGGAGCGAACAGGAUUAGAUACCCUCGUAGUCC